rnacentral:rRNA from 1 species
GACAGAGGUGCCGAGCGUUAGGCGGAAUCACUGGGCUUAAAGCGUGUGUAGGCGGAUCCGUAAGUACCUUGUGAAAUCCUACGGCUCAACCGUGGAACUGCUGGGUAUACUGCGGGUCUUGAGCCACCUAGGGGCGAGCGGAACAAGUGGUGGAGCGGUGAAAUGCGUAGAUAUCACUUGGAACGCCAAUGGUGAAAACAGCUCGCUGGGGGUGCGCUGACGCUGAGACACGAAAGCCAGGGGAGCAAACGGG